UUGACCUCGGAUCAGGUAGGGAUACCCGCUGAACUUAAGCAUAUCAAUAAGCAGGAGGAA
rnacentral:rRNA from 1 species